rnacentral:rRNA from 1 species
CCAAAAACAUCGCUUCUUGAUAAUAAUAAGAAGUCCUGCCUGCCCAGUGACAAAUUAAACGGCCGCGGUACCCUAACCGUGCAAAGGUAGCAUAAUCACUUGUUCCUUAAAUAGGGACUCGUAUCAACGGCAUCACGAGGGUUAUACUGUCUCCCCUCUCUAAUCAGUGAAACUGAUCCCCCCAUGAAAAAGUGGGGAUAACAUUAUAAGACGAGAAGACCCCAUGGAGCUUUAAACUCAAUAGCAACUCAGCAAAAUUCUUAAGCUACAAAAUAUGCUAAUAGUUUUAGGUUGGGGCGACCACGGAGUAAAAAUUAACCUCCGUAACGAAAAGAUUUAAAUCUUUACCCAAGAGUUACUACUCUAAGAAUUAGAAAACUAAAGGAUUAUGACCCGAUUAUCGAUCAAUGAACCAAGUUACCCUGGGGAUAACAGCGCAAUCUACUUCAAGAGUCCAUAUCGACAAGUAGGCUUACGACCUCGAUGUUGGAUCAGGGUAUCCUAGUGGUGCAGCCGCUACUAAGGGUUCGUUUGUUCAACGAUUAAAACCCUACGUGAUC